UUUGGAAAAAAGAAAAUUUAAAUUUUGAGUUAACCUCUAAACCCAUUAUCCCAAGUGUUAUAUUAUUAUUUAUGUGUUUUUACUACUUGUAUUAUUUAAAUUUUUACAUGUAUACCACAAUGUUGUGUAGUUAUAUGACUACUUACAUUUAUUUAUUUUACAUGAAAUUUAUUGCAAUAAUCAUUUAACAAUUACGUUCAUUACAUUUUUUCAUACCAAAUACCCCAGUUUUUCAAAGUAAUUUCAUGUUUAAAAAUAUUGGCAGAAUGGUUAAAUGGAAAGAUCUUGGCUUUAAAGAUCCUUGAGCAUAGGGGCUAGAACAUCCUUGUUUAGAGCUUCGUAUUCAAACUGCAGCUGAUUGCCAACAAGAGCUAGAGGAUAAUCAUCUGAUCAUUAACACUCAGAAUCUCUGAUAAUGGUCGACCUGAUGAUAAAGAUGAUAGGGAAUUUGAAUGACUGCACGCUUUAUCAAUAACUCUUCCUUCGAUGAACGACUAGCUACCAAAAAUCUACCGACUAGAAAUGCCACAAUCGUUCCACCACAGUAUGUUGGUUAUUAACUUUUCCAAAACCUAUUAACAUGGGUUACAUUGGCUAUCAACAACCUAUAACAACAAUAUCAAUAAUUGUGAUAUUUCAGAGCCAAGUUUAAUCUAAUCCUCAAGAAAUAGUCUAGGUAUUAUAUACGUAUUUCACCUUGCUUUAUUAUUUCCUGAAGACAUGUGAAACAACUCAGUGUUUGUAUUGUCAAUUUUAUCGACAGGAAAACUUUAUGAUUUUACGUCUUGACUAAGAAAAGUAUUAGUGAAAAAAUCGAUUGAUGAAAUCACAAAAAUGUAGUUGAAUAACUCGAAUUUGUUUGAAGGCAAAUAUAAGCAUGUUUCAACACCAUAAAUAUCACUACAACUCAUCACUGUCAGUCAGAAGUUAUAAUCGAAGUAUAUUUCUCAUAAUCUAGUCAUUUCAUUCUGUGCUGUAAUCCUCCAAAUAAAUUUCUAGUAAAACAAUCAA